AAGAUUAAGUGACUUGAAAACAGCAGAUGUAUUUUGGGCAAGUUUUUAUGCUACUAAUUUCCGAUCGUGUCGUCUCGUUUUAUCGCAAAGAAUUGCUAUAUGGUGAGAGCGAGAGAAAAAACUUAAAUGGGUAGCUGAAACUGUGACCCAGUGUACUUAAUGCUAAUAAAUCUUACAUUAUCUUAAAAAUCAUUACUUGAUAAAUAGAUUUUAUUCAGUAACAAUAUUAUUCACAAAAACAUAAAACAAGAAUUGAAACAAAUAAAACUAACAAUAUUUAAUCUCAAAAUUUAAAUAACAUCAGUCGGACACAAACUAACCUACGAACUAGAGAUUUGAACUACACAAAAAAUGCACCACUUGUAGUCUUACAACAAUAAAACGAUAUUAUAAUUACUGUAUUCCCGAGAUGAUUUGACCCUUAUUUACACGUGAGUAAUUAUUGGCUCCGUGCACGAUUACAGCGCCAACUAGCGUCCACAACUUUGUGGGUUCUGUCACAUUGACAUUUAGGUCGUAUAUUUGUGAAAAAAUAUCGAAAUGAAAAAAUAACAAAUAUUUUCAACUAAUAAAUUGUUGUGAUACCACGAUUUGGGUGGAAAAAAGGUUUUGAAAUCAUUUUGGUCAUUCAAAUCAAAUGAGAUCGAAAUGAGUAUCGUUUUGAAGACCGGGUUUGUGAGAGUUACAAUAUCAAAUUCCAACCACAAACCGUAUUUAAAGGAAAGUUGUUGGUAUUGGCUGGACAAGUCCGAGAUGUAGAAGAAUUAAGAACAAAACAAGGGCAGAGUUCAAUAAUUCACGCUCUCAUCAUAAGGCAAACAUCUGUGCACAACAACUACUGUGACUCAUUUUUGUACUACCACGUUGUAUAGUUUAGUUAUUUCCAAAUUGUAAACGGCUAUUAAAACAGCCCUAUCGAAAUACA